UGGUCAAGUUAUUAAGGGUGUAGGGCGGAUGCCUUGGCACUAGGAGCCGAUGAAGGACGUGAUAAGCUGCGAUAAGCUUCGGGGAGUUGCACGUAAACUUUGAUCCGAAGAUUUCCGAAUGAGGAAACUCACUUAGAGUAAUGUCUAAGUAUCAUUAAGUGAAUACAUAGCUUAAUGAGGGGAACUCAGGGAACUGAAACAUCUAAGUACCUGAAGGAAGAGAAAGAAAUUCGAUUCCGUAAGUAGCGGCGAGCGAACGCGGAUUAGCCCAAACCAAUAAAGUUUUCUUUGUUGGGGUUGCGGACAUAUCAUAACGAAGAGGUAUCGUAAUUGAAGAGGUUUGGAAAGACCCACCACAGAAGGUAAUAGUCCUGUAUGUUAAACGAGAAGACUUUAGAUAUGAUCCAGAGUAC
rnacentral:rRNA from 1 species